GCAGUUUUAUCAUCCUCUGCCUUUGGGUGUCUGAUUAAGCAUGACUGGUUGUGAUUGGGAUUUUAAAUACUAGCAGGCUUCCCAAUUACCUCAAUUAUCUUUGCCCCAGGAAUGAUUGCUAUUUCCAGGCACACAUCCUGUUGCCCACAGUUUCUCACACAGGUUUUUCUGGCACCUUCCUUACAGUAAUAGCCCUCAGCACAGCAAACUACAGACUAAAAACUCUCCCACAGUACCUCCUGAGUACACUGCAGCACUGACACACUUGGAUGCAUCUUCUAACUCUUCUGCUUCCACUCUAUUUUAGGAAUAUUCAGAAAUUUCAUUUUUUUAAAGAUUUAUUUAAAAUUAUAGCAGUCAUGCAUAGUGUUUAGAACACAUUCUAUCCAAAAAGCAUUUCUUAGAGUUUCUUCUCUGAGUAAAUAAACCAGCAAAAGAGAAUUUAUAAAAAUUAAAAAAAAAACCCACCCAAAACUAUAACAAACUAUUUACAGUAAAACAGUUAGUGAUAUGUAAAAUUAUUUCUGUUUAGGUCCCUGUUCUAGUAGAUCUUCUGGACAUAUCUGCAGAACUAUGGUCCACGCCCCAGUGAAGAAAGUCCCGGGAAUUUCCACACUGCACAAAGUGGGUGUGGGGUUUUUACCAUGUUCUGGUACAUGGCAUGGAUUCUGUGAAGAGGUCUUUGUCCUUAGUAGGACCUGCUCUGUCUUCUUACUGUCACAGGAAGCACAUUUGUCCUUUAAAUAAUCCUUGUGCUCCUACUAACAAUUUGUCAUUUACAGAAAGGACACUCUAACAAUAGACAAGUUUAUUCCUUCCAGUUAAAGGCAAACAGCAAUUCCAGUAGCUCAAGGCACUCACCUGUUAAGUUUGGGGGGCACAUAAAUGCAUUUUAUGUUGAGAAGAAAAUUAAGGACAUUUUGGCUUUAAAGUGAUUGUUUUUACUUUGUUGCUUUGUUUUGUUUUUUUGAUGAGGUGUUUGUUUUUUUGGGUUUUGUGUGUUUUGGUUUUGUUUUGUUUUUUACUUCCCAUGUGUUACAGUCACCGCAACACAUUUGUUAAGCUUUGUUAUGUGUAGGCGUCCUUUUGAUCUCGGUAUAUUUCAGGCUUCCUUAUAGCCUAGAUAUUGUUUAAAAAAGCAUCUACCAGUGACAGUUUGUCAUAUUUCCAGUUAAUACCAGUGUCAAUAUUGUUAGUUACACAAGCUGAUUUGGUCUUUGCAUAUGCUGUGUGUCAGUUCUUUUGAGAUGUUUGACUAUCAGCAUAGCAAGCACAGCACUUACUCUGUCCAAACAUGUAACCAAAUUUAC
rnacentral:lncRNA from 1 species